rnacentral:rRNA from 1 species
UACGAAGGGUGCAAGCGUUACUCGGAAUUACUGGGCGUAAAGCGUGCGUAGGUGGUUCGUUAAGUCUGAUGUGAAAGCCCUGGGCUCAACCUGGGAAUGGCAUUGGAAACUGGCGACCUAGAGUGCGGUAGGGGGUAGUGGAAUUCCCGGUGUAGCAGUGAAAUGCGUAGAGAUCGGGAGGAACAUCCGUGGCGAAGGCGACUACCUGGACCAGCACUGACACUGAGGCACGAAAGCGUGGGGAGCAAACAGG